rnacentral:tRNA from 1 species
ACCUGGGUGGCUCAGUCGGUAGAGCGUGGGACUCUUGAUCUCAGGGUUGUGGGUUCAACUUCCAUGUUGGGCG